CGCCAGCGUCUCGGGGAGUCGGGAACGACCCGCGUCAAUAGCCCCAGCUUUGGACGAGGACGGCCCGUCAUCAUCGCCUGAUCACCAGCAAUUGGCCCGAUCGUUUCAGUCUCAAGGCGACAGGCUCGCUGAGGUCCACUAUGUUAUUGGUGGUGGUGGCGAUGGUAGGAAUGGAAUGAAAUGUCCAAUGCAUAUGUUAUUUGCAGAAUUGUGUUUCCAGCAGUGGAGUGGGCUGGGGUUGAUGUGCUGAAGAGGGAAUGGAAUGAAAUGAUUGGGGAUAUGGAAUUACAUGAAACGAUAUGGUUAUCAUUUACUUGAUUAAUGUUGAUUUGCUGAAUAUUAAGGUUUUUUUUUUCGCAAUGGGGUAGACAUAAUAGUAAAAGCCCAUAGUCCCAUUUUGGUAAUCUGAGCCUGAAGAUCUUGGUCAAUUUGUGCAACUUGUUUUGGGUGUUGUGAUGCUCCUAAUUGUGGACUCGGCAGCCUUCGAAUUGGCUUUAAGAGUUUCCAACUUUACUGUUGGCUGCUCCUGGCUAUCAUACUGUAA